rnacentral:rRNA from 1 species
UACAGAGACGGCAAGCGUUGUUCGGAUUCAUUGGGCGUAAAGGGCGUGUAGGCGGUUUGUUAAGUCAUGUGUGAAAUCCCUCGGCUCAACCUCGAGACGCCGAUGGAAACCAUGUGGCUAGAGUCCGGAAGAGGAGAGUGGAAUUCCUGGUGUAGCGGUGAAAUGCGCAGAUAUCAGGAAGAACACCCGUGGCUAAGGCGGCUCUCUAGUACGGUACUGACGCUGAGACGCGAAAGCGUGGGGAGCAAACAGG